rnacentral:rRNA from 2 species
CUGGUUUCUAGUGGCGGACGGGUGAGUAACGCGUGGGUAACCUGCCUUAUACAGGGGGAUAACAACCAGAAAUGGUUGCUAAUACCGCAUAAGCGCACAGGACCGCAUGGUCCGGUGUGAAAAACUCCGGUGGUAUAAGAUGGACCCGCGUUGGAUUAGCUAGUUGGCGGGGUAACGGCCUACCAAGGCGACGAUCCAUAGCCGGCCUGAGAGGGUGAACGGCCACAUUGGGACUGAGACACGGCCCAG